AGCUCCAAUAGCGUAUAUUAAAGUUGUUGCCGUUAAAAAGCUCGUAGUCGAACUUCGGCUCCUGUUGGUCGGUCCGCCUUAUUGGUGUGUACUUACUCGAUGGGAGCUUACCUCUUGGUGAACUAUAAUGUGCUUUACUGUAUGUUAUAGGGAACCAGGACAUUUACUUUGAGAAAAUUAGAGUGUUCAAAGCAGGCCUACGCCCGAAUACAUUAGCAUGGAAUAAUAAAAUAGGACGCGCGUUCCCAUUUUGUUGGUUUCUGAGAUCGCCGUAAUGAUUAAUAGGGAUAGUUGGGGGCAUUUGUAUUCCGUCGUCAGAGGUGAAAUUCUUAGAUUGCCGGAAGACAAACUAUUGCGAAAGCAUUUGCCAAGGAUGUUUUCA
rnacentral:rRNA from 1 species